rnacentral:lncRNA from 1 species
CGCUCCUCCGGGCCUCCCUGUGCCCCUCUUCCGGGCGCCUCUCUCUCUCUCCUCCUCUCACUUUCUUUAAGCUAAGCGGGGAGUGGAAGAUGGUAGGUUGCUCCCUUCUCCUCCUCCUCCUCUUCGCUCGCUCUCGCCUCCGUGGGGUCCUGUUCCUUCCCCCUGUCCGCGGGGGGCUCCUCCUGCGGCGGGGAGGAGGGGGCGGGCGGGGCGGGAGGCACGGAGCCGGCGAGGCGCAGGAGGAGAGAAACUGUGACACAAAAACAAGCCGCGAAGCUGAACUCUUCUUCAAUCCCAUUCACCCGGCCCGGCCGCAGCACCGCGCCGACGGAUCCCUCCGCCGACGGCCUCCCUGCCUGCCUGACGCGCGCUCCCGACGCGCCGCCGAGCGCGCCCCCGCCCGCCCCCACCCCGCGGCCGGGGGGGUCCGGCCCGCCGCUCUCGCGGCCCCCCCGCCGCUCCCGGAGCGCCCCCGCCGCCCCCUCGCCGCCAUGCCGGCGGGGGCGGCCGCGCCGCCUCCUCCCGGGGGGGACUACUUGACGCGUCGGUGCGGCGAAUUUAUUUCCCUUUGCCUAAGGAACGGGCUGUGCUGCGGCACCCAUUGCCUAGGGAAAAAGCCCGGAUGUGAAGCUCACAAUGACAAAGAGGAGCAGUCCCAGCCUCUGCACUACUUCUGGCUUCAUUUCCACAUCAGCAAAAAGGACUUCCCCAGCCCAUUUUACAGUGCUAUUUGCUGAGAACACUUAAAGAAUGUCUUCUUGGAUUUUGCUCUAUCAUGCAGAAACAUUUUCAUGGCAAGCAGCAAGUGUGAAAGCUCCUAACCUCCACAUCAAAGAUGGAGCCAACAGAGCUGGGUAGCCACACGGUGCUUUCCCUUUCCACUGUUUCCAGCAUCAAACUACCUCAAAAAUAAACUAAAAGUUAGUUUCUUACCUAUUACUGUU